rnacentral:rRNA from 1 species
GCAUGCAGUCAAGGGGGUCCGACGCAAGUCGGACAACCGGCAGACGGGUGAGUAACGCGUAGGAAUCUACCUCUAGGUGGGACAUAGCUCAGAGAAAUCUGGGGUAAUUUCCCAUAGUCUCGUAAGAGUAAAGGACUUAACGGUCCGCCAAGAGAGGAGCCUGCGUCCUAUCAGCUUGUUGGUGGGGUAAAAGCCUACCAAGGCGAUGACGGGUAGCUGGACUGAGAGGUCGAUCAGCCACAACUGCACUGAAACACGGGCAGUACACCUACGGGUGGCAGCAACCGGGAAUAUUGCGCAAUGGGGGAAACCCUGACGCAGCGACGCCGCGUGAAGGAAGAAGGCCUAUGGGUCGUAAACUUCUUUUGAUAAGCCGUUCACAGCUUAUAGAAUAAGCCUCUACUAACUACGUGCCAGAAGUCUCGGUAAUACGUAGGAGGCAAGCAUUAUCCGGAUUCAUUGGGCGUAAAGUGUGCGUAGGCGGACUAGUGUGUCUUAUUUUAAAGACCAAGGCUUAACCUUGGAUUUGGACAGGAAACUACUAGACUAGAGGAUUAAUCGGGGUGAUAGAACAGUAGGUGUAGCAGUGAAAUGCGUUGAUAUCUACUGGAAUACCAAAGGCGAAGGCAGUCACCUGGGUUCUUCCUGACGCUGAGGCACGAAAGCUGGGGGAGCGAAACAGAUUAGAUACCUGUGUAGUCCUAGCCGUAAACGAUGUCUGCUAGAUUUUCUCUCGUCAAGAUCAUAAGUAAUUUUCUUGUGUUUUUGACGAGGGAGAGUCGCAAGCUAACGCGUUAAGCAGACCGCCUGGGGAGUACGGUCGCAAGACUAAAACUCAAAGGAAUUGACGGGGACCCGCACAACCUGUGGAGCGUGUGGUUCAAUUCGAGACAAAACGAAGAACCUCACCAGGUUUGACAUACUACCGUUUAUGCUUUUGGAAACAUUAGCAAAUCCGUAAGGAUGGUAGUACAGUGCUGCAUGGCUGUCGUCAGCUCGUGCCGUGAGGUGUUCCCUUAAGUG